rnacentral:tRNA from 1 species
GGCUUCAUAGCUUAGUGGUAGAGUGUUUGCACCAGAAUCGCAAAAUGGGUUCGAAGCCCGUUGAAGGCA